rnacentral:rRNA from 1 species
UACGUAGGGGGCAAGCGUUGUCCGGAAUCAUUGGGCGUAAAGAGCGUGUAGGCGGCUUGGUAAGUCCGCUGUGAAAGUCCAGGGCUCAACCCUGGAAAGCCGGUGGAUACUGUCGAGCUCGAGUCCGGAAGAGGCGAGUGGAAUUCCUGGUGUAGCGGUGAAAUGCGCAGAUAUCAGGAAGAACACCCGUGGCUAAGGCGGCUCUCUAGUACGUGACUGACGCUGAGACGCGAAAGCGUGGGGAGCGAACAGG